rnacentral:tRNA from 1 species
GAGGGUAUAGCUCAGUGGUAGAAUGUGUGCUUAGUAUGCAUGAGGUCCUGGGUUCAAUCCCCAGUACCUCUG